GGCCUUCGGGUUGUAAAACUCUGUCUUCAGGGAAGAAAAAAAUGACGGUACCUGAGGAGGAAGCCCCGGCUAACUACGUGCCAGCAGCCGCGGUAAUACGUAGGUGGCAAGCGUUGUCCGGAAUUACUGGGCGUAAAGAGCGCGUAGGCGGGUAUUUAAGUCAGGAGUGAAAACUGGCGGCUCAACUGCCAGCCUGCUCUUGAAACUGGAUCUCUUGAGGGUAUGAGAGGAAAGCGGAAUUCCCAGUGUAGCGGUGAAAUGCGUAGAUAUUGGGAGGAACACCAGUGGCGAAGGCGGCUUUCUGGCAUACAACUGACGCUGAGGCGCGAAAGCGUGGGGAGCAAACGGGAUUAGAUACCCCGGUAGUCCACGCCGUAAACGAUGGGUACUAGGUGUAGGAGGUAUCGACCCCUUCUGUGCCGUAGUUAACACAAUAAGUGCCCCGCCUGGGGAGUACGGCCGCAAGGUUG
rnacentral:rRNA from 1 species